AAGCGCUUGCCACCAGACUUGUCGGCGGUGUUCCGCCGGUCUUCUGACCGGUCCACUCGCCGCCGGCAGGCCAGCAUCGUCUGGGGCCGCCGGAUAAAGACGUCGGGAAUGUAGCUCCCUCGGGAGUGUUAUAGCCCUUCACACAAUACGGCGCGCCCCGGGCGAGGUCCGCGCUCCGGCAAGGAUGCUGGCGUAAUGGUCGUAAGCGG
rnacentral:rRNA from 1 species